CGUGUAGGCGGCCAAGCAGGUCCGUUGUGAAAACUGGAGGCUUAACCUCCAGACGUCGACGGAAACCGCGUGGCUAGAGUCCGGAAGAGGAGAGUGGAAUUCCUGGUGUAGCGGUGAAAUGCGCAGAUAUCAGGAAGAACACCAAUGGCGAAGGCAGCUCUCUGGGACGGUACUGACGCUGAGACGCGAAAGCGUGGGGAGCGAACA
rnacentral:rRNA from 1 species